AAACCAAUCCAGCUUGCUGGGUCUUGGGUCUCGCCUCUGGGCGGGCCUUAAAAUCAGUGGCGGUGCCACUCGGCUCUAAGCGUAGUAAUUCUUCUCGCUAUAGGUCCCGGGUGGAGGCUUGCCAACAACCCCUAAUUCUUAAA
rnacentral:misc_RNA from 1 species